UAGAUAUUAAUUACUGAAAAUACCAUUUAAUUUAGACAUCACAUUUGUGUUUGAUCUGGAUAUCUUUCAGAGGAAACGAAGGAAGAACCGGACUACAUUAAUGUAGCAGUAGACUCUGUGGAGGAAAAGGAAACCCUUCCAGAUCACAAGUGUUCCUCCUGUACUCGGUCUUUUGCACCACUGGCAGUGUGUUGGCUGAUACUGUUGGGAAUCAUCGGCCUUCGUAUUUACUUUACUGCAGUCAUUUCUGAAAACAACGCCAGACUGACUGCAGCAGAAUGGAACCUCAUAAUGAUAAUCGAGAAAAUGAAUGCACAAAACCAGGAGCUGGAGAUGGACAAGAAUAACCUGACACAACAAAUACAAAACUGGAAGAAGUUCAAGGAACAUCAUUGUGAACCCUGUCAGAAGGGCUGGCUUAUAGACGAGUCCAACUGCUAUGCAAUUAUAAAUCCGACAAAACUUGAGAACCUGAGAACCUGGGAAGAAGCUCAAGAAGACUGCAGUGG